UACGAAGGGGGCUAGCGUUGUUCGGAAUUACUGGGCGUAAAGCGCGUGUAGGCGGCUUUGCAAGUCGGGUGUGAAAUCCCAUGGCUCAACCAUGGAAGUGCACUCGAAACUGCAGAGCUAGAGUCCUGGAGAGGAAGGUGGAAUGCUUGGUGUAGAGGUGAAAUUCGUAGAUAUCAAGCGGAACACCGGUGGCGAAGGCGGCCUUCUGGACAGUGACUGACGCUGAGACGCGAAAGCGUGGGGAGCAAACAGG
rnacentral:rRNA from 1 species